CAUUAUAGUUUUUUUGAAUAUUAAAUAUUAUUAAUAUUAUAAUUACUUUUUUGAAUAAAGUAUUAUUUUUUUUAGUACACAAAAUAAAUUAUUUAGAGUAAUUAAAGUUUAUUGUAUAGAAAUAGAUUUAUUUAAAUUAAGUUAAAGGUAAGUUAAAUUUUUGUACCUUUUGUAUCAGGGUUUAAUAAAAAUUUUUUGUAUAAUUAAUUCUCGUAUAGUUAAGAUUUAAUUUUUUAUUAUUUUAAAUGUGGCAAAAUUUAAUUGGAUAAUAAAUUGGUAACGAAAAGUUAAUCGUUUAAUUAGGGUUCUAGUUUUUAGGUAAAUUAAUUUAAUUAAUUCUUUAAUAAUUAUUUAAUUUUAGGUUAAUUUUAUAUUUUAAAGAUUAAAUUAUAAAGAGUUUAUUUUUUAUAAAUUUUAUAUUUAAUAUUUAAAAAUUUUUUCUAGAUUUAAUAUUGAUAGUUGAUAAAUAGUUUUUUAUAAAAAAAAAUUAUUUUUAUUAAAUUUAUUUUUAAUUAAUUAUUUACUUAAAUAUUGUUUUUAAUUAAUAAAAUUAUGUAGUAAUAUUUAAAUUAGUAAAUUUUCAAAAUUAAAUAUAGGAAUUCGGCAAACAAAUUUUUUGCCUGUUUAUCAAAAACAUGUCUUUUUGUUUUUAUUUAAAGUCCAAUCUGCUCACUGAGUUUUAAAGAGCCGCAGUAUUUUAACUGUGCAAAGGUAGCAUAAUAAAUAGUUUUUUAAUUGAAAGCUGGAAUGAAAGAUUAGACAAAAAAAUAACUUUCUUUUUUGAAGUAAAUUGAAUUUAAAAUUUAAGUAAAAAUACUUAAAUGUAAUUAAAAGACGAGAAGACCCUAUAGAUUUUUAUUUACUAACAAUAUAUUAAAAAUUUUAUUUUAAGUAAAUUUAAUUGGGGCGAUUUUGUAAUAAAUUUAACUUAAUAUAUUAAAACCAUAAAUAAUUGAAUAUUUUGAUCUAAAUGUUUUAAAUAGUAGAUUAAAUUACCUUAGGGAUAACAGCGUAAUUUUAUUUAAGAGUUCAUAUCUAUAAUAAAGUUUGCGACCUCGAUGUUGAAUUAAGAAAUAUAUAGGAGCAGAAAUUUAUAAAUAUUAGUCUGUUCGACUAUUAAAUUCUUACAUGAUUUGAGUUCAGACCGGCGUGAGCCAGGUCAGUUUCUAUCUUUAAUUUUGUUUUAUAUGUAAGUACGAAAGGACAAUUUAUAAAUAAAAUUUAUUAAUAAUUG
rnacentral:rRNA from 1 species